GGUCAUUCUGAGGAGACAAGGAGAGCCUCUUAAGAAGAGUGGGAUGUGCUUUGCAUAAAAUGUCCUGCUUCUACCAAGCCCCCAAAGUCCACUGUGAUAACUGGGAGGAGCAGAGGAGAAAGCAGGAGGUCCAAAACUUUGAAGAACUUUCAGGCUAAUGUUUGGACUUGAGAUCACUGAGAUCAGAUACAGAUCACCUCCUCACCUCUCCUCUAUGAACAACUCCUCCUCUAUGUCAAGACUGAAACAGCCCUGGGGUUACAACCUGAAUAGCUUACAAGGAAGGAAGAUUUAAAGACUAUGUUUAGGAUCUGAAAUGUCUUGCGCAGUGUUGUGUUUUUUAAAAUCACAAUUAUCUCCUUUGCCUCUUUAUUUUUCUUCCUUCCUCCCUUCCUUCUCCAUCUGUUUUUCCCCGCUAGGAUCAGAAAGAAUUGGCAACAUAUGAUUAAAAGCGAUUCUCAAUUUGGGAACUGCUGUUUUAUCUUAACCAGGAUUACCUUAACAAGGAUUUUACUUAUAAAGAUCUUUCUGGGGCCAGAUCUCCCCAUGGGCCAGUUUUAUCCAGCUACAAGGACAACAAAGAGGAGCCAUCAGAGCUGCUGUCUGUACACGUAAUCCUGUUACCAUAAAACCAGCAUCAGAUUCUGGAUCCAAUGGAAAAAGGCCAGUUUAGAUCCCAUUCAGCCUUUCCAAGGGAGUAAUUCAAGCACAAA